rnacentral:rRNA from 1 species
AGUGUAGGCGGCUUCGUAAGUCGGAUGUGAAAGCCCCGGGCUUAACCUGGGAAUUGCAUUCGAUACUGCGCGGCUAGAGUUUGGUAGAGGAAAGUGGAAUUCCAGGUGUAGCGGUGAAAUGCGUAGAUAUCUGGAGGAACAUCAGUGGCGAAGGCGGCUUUCUGGAUCAAAACUGACGCUGAGGCUCGAAAGCGUGGGGAGCAAACAGGAUUAGAUACCCUGGUAGUCC